AGUUAAAAAUUCCAUCCAUUUCAACAGUUAAAAACUUAUGUAGCUAACGGAAUAAUCAAACAGUUACACAUGACGUGCCAUAUGUACCUCAUGCUGACAUACAAGAACUAGUUUUUAACGAUAGCAAUGCAUGAAUUUUUUAAUA
rfam:Gossypium raimondii Chr04_contig_1406, whole genome shotgun sequence.